rnacentral:pre_miRNA from 1 species
UUUUAUGAAUGAACAAAGAAAAUGGUUUCUUGAAAUGGAAUCUACUUCUGAUGAAGAUGCUGUGAA